rnacentral:rRNA from 1 species
UACGAAGGGGGCAAGCGUUACUCGGAAUUACUGGGCGUAAAGCGUGCGUAGGUGGUUGUUUGCGUCUGUUGUGAAAGCCCUGGGCUCAACCUGGGAAUUGCAGUGGAUACUGGGGAGCUAGAGUGCGGUAGAGGGUAGUGGAAUUCCCGGUGUAGCGGUGAAAUGCGUAGAGAUCGGGAGGAACACCAGUGGCGAAGGCGGCUACCUGGACCAGCACUGACACUGAGGCACGAAAGCGUGGGGAGCAAACAGG